CACCAGCUCUUUUGAGCUUGCGCAACACCCAUGACCUCCUGACCUGGCAGGUGAGGCUGGAUGCAGAAGCUCCUUUGACAAUAAGGAGAGUUAGGGACUUAGGUUCCAGGUGUGAUCAUCAUCUUUAACUAAGAGCAGGAACAACAUGGCCUCAGUCAAGUCACCUAACUCUCUAGGUUCUCGGCCUUAAAAUGAGGGCCAACAAUUAUGGGUGUUCUCUAAGGUUCCUCUAGCUGUAAAGUUCUAGAAUUCCAGGUGAUAAGAAGCUAAUGUUCAUGAACCUUAAACUAGUCCAGGUUAGUUGAUGUGUGUCUCUGCCAUGUCGGUCACUGCCCUGGGGUUAAGCGGUAAGAUACUAUCCUUAGGGUUCUCUUUGUUUGGUAUUCUUACUCAUCCUCUCCCAUCACCAUUCUUACACUUUGGGCCCCCCUCUCCCCAGCCAAUACUGUCCUUUUGACUGAGAAGAUUUCUCUCCCCUUUUUAUUUGGUUUUCCAGGAAGUGAGUAGCUGCAGAGUCAGCUCCGUCAACCAUUUUUCCUCCCAUUCCAGAUUCAGUGUUUUCCUGCAGCAGUGGGCCUGCAAAAGGGUUCCAAACAUGGUGUGGGGGCUGGGAGACAUCCAAAGACACCGCAGACAGGCUAUGUGGCCGGCUUGUGCUACACAACCAGAUGGGUUCUCAGGAGAGACAGCUGAGGAGGUGGGGAGGAGGCUGGCUGUGAGCCAAGGAGUCACUGCCGAGCAACCUGAGAUGUCGGGGAGGGAAACAAGAGCGAGUACAAAGCUGAAAGGCAUGGAAAUGGUCACUCCUCAAACGGACACAUUAAACGGCAGAUGAUAUAACCCUUGACUGUCUUCUGAGAUACAC
rnacentral:lncRNA from 1 species